rnacentral:rRNA from 1 species
AUUGAACGCUGGCGGCAUGCCUUACACAUGCAAGUCGAACGGUAACGCGGGGCAACCUGGCGACGAGUGGCGAACGGGUGAGUAAUAUAUCGGAACGUGCCCAAUAGUGGGGGAUAGCCCGGCGAAAGCCGGAUUAAUACCGCAUACGACCUGAGGGUGAAAGCGGGGGAUCGCAAGACCUCGCGCUAUUGGAGCGGCCGAUAUCAGAUUAGGUAGUUGGUGGGGUAAAGGCCUACCAAGCCUACGAUCUGUAGCUGGUCUGAGAGGACGACCAGCCACACUGGGACUGAGACACGGCCCAGACUCCUACGGGAGGCAGCAGUGGGGGAAUUUUUGGGACAAUGGGGGGCAACCCUGAUCCAGCCAUUCCGCGUGAGUGAAGAAGGCCUUCGGGUUGUAAAGCUCUUUUCGUUCGGGGUACGGAAACGGGUACGUCACCUAACUACGU